CGGGCUUGAAUUGUAGUGGAAUAAUGUGGAAACAUGUUAGCAGCUUGCUGCCGCUAUGAAGGUGCUGCAUGGUUGUCGUCAGCUCGUGCCGUGAGGUGUCGGCUUAAGUGCCAUAACGAGCGCAACCCUUGUCGAUAGUUACCAUCAGGUCAUGCUGGGCACUCUAUCGAGACUGCCAUCGUAAGAUGUGAGGAAGGUGGGGAUGACGUCAAAUCAGCACGGCCCUUACGUCCGGGGCUACACACGUGUUACAAUGGGGGGUACAGAAGGUUGCUACCUGGCAACAGGAUGCUAAUCCCAAAAACCUCUCUCAGUUCGGAUUGGAGUCUGCAACCCGACUCCAUGAAGCUGGAUUCGCUAGUAAUCGCGCAUCAGCCACGGCGCGGUGAAUACGUUCCCGGGCC
rnacentral:rRNA from 1 species